GUAUGAAUGGAAACUAAUGUUGGAGUAGCCUGUUGUUCAUAUUUAACCAAUCCAAAGGAUGCUGCCUACCUGUCUCCAAAGCACCUACCUUAGUAGGUAACAAUUUUCAUUUUGGAUGAUUUCGAAGGCAGCAUCCCUUGAUAACGCAUUGACAUUGCACCAAGCGCAAUAUGUUUGUAGCCACAUUGUAGCUACUGUAGCAGCGUGAGUAGCAAGCGCUAGCAAUUUAGUGGACAACUAUCCUAAAAUGGACAUAUCUGACAUGAAUAACAAGUAACAUUUUCCUCAGUACCUGUAAUUAAUGAAGUGGACACCGACCAGAAUAAUUAUCCUACGGUAUAGGGUCCUCCUCUCGCAUAUUGCUCGGUCUGCUGCUCCAUCGUUGUGGUCAGGACAGGACAAGGAUCGCCCUGACUUUCAAAGAUGCCUGAAUUGCUAUGCCUUUCUGGUUGGCUGGCAAGUUUCACCAUCCAAUUAGUAUUGCAAUAGUGCAUGUUUCACCAUGGCACGGACCGUGGAGAUACGUUGGCACAUGAGAAUUAUUAGUAUACAGUGUAUG
ensembl:lncRNA